GACGAACGCUGGCGGCGUGCCUAAUACAUGCAAGUAGAACGCUGAAGAGAGGAGCUUGCUCUUCUUGGAUGAGUUGCGAACGGGUGAGUAACGCGUAGGUAACCUGCCUUGUAGCGGGGGAUAACUAUUGGAAACGAUAGCUAAUACCGCAUAACAAUGGAUGACCCAUGUCAUUUAUUUGAAAGGGGCAAAUGCUCCACUACAAGAUGGACCUGCGUUGUAUUAGCUAGUAGGUGAGGUAACGGCUCACCUAGGCGACGAUACAUAGCCGACCUGAGAGGGUGAUCGGCCACACUGGGACUGAGACACGGCCCAGACUCCUGCGGGUGGCAGCAGUAGGGAAUCUUCGGCAAUGGGGGCAACCCUGACCGAGCAACGCCGCGUGAGUGAAGAAGGUUUUCGGAUCGUAAAGCUCUGUUGUAAGUCAAGAACGAGUGUGAGAGUGGAAAGUUCACACUGUGACGGUAGCUUACCAGAAAGGGACGGCUAACUACGUG
rnacentral:rRNA from 1 species